GGGGGGCGGUUGGCGGGGGAACGCUGUCUGGCCCUGCGGCUCUCCCGGGCCCUGAGCCCGCGACUUCCACCGGCCAGUCAGCCUUGUGUCUCCACAGUGGCCUCGGGGAGAGACCAACUUGCCAGCAAGUCCCCCCAGCCCUCAGGACCAGGACGGCGGAGGGUGGCGGACCAAGGUGCCCUCCCGCCCUCGGCCGGGCCUGGGUGCAGAGUCCCUACCUGGUACAGAACGUCGUUGCCGCCUUUGCCUCGUCUCCGUUGGUUCUGAGAGACAGACAGACAGACAGACAGAGAGAUCAGCACUGCGGCUCGGGGCCCGGAGUCCUGCCCCGAUAAAGGGUGGCAGCGCCAUGGAGAUGAAGGGGCAUCCUCCAGCGGGUAGCCGCUCACCAUUGGGCCCGGGAGCGAUCUGCCUGGAGGCUCGGAGACUGCUGGAGACUGUGAGCGCCUUGUGACCAGGGGCCGGGUGCCUGGUAGAGUGCCCCGCACACGGGAAGCACUCAAUCGCUACCACUGAUGGACUGUCAGAUCUGGUUCUGGCCCUGCUGGGACGGGACCCCGGCGCUCCUGCCAAACUGGAAAAGUCAGAAGACCGGGUCAGGCACUGUCCGAGUCGCCCCCCGCCCCACCCCAGGCGGCCAGCCCCGAGGGAGACCUCAGAGGGUGAGCCCCGGAGGGCGGGGACCCAACAAAAGCCGCUGUUUGCCGGACCAGGCCCCACCGGACCCCCACCGGGUGUGUCCCCUUGCAACUGGACUCGCCCAUCCCCGCCUUAGGGCAAGUCGUUUCUCCAUGCCUCAAUUAUACCACCUGUA